rnacentral:ncRNA from 1 species
GAACUCAAGAGUUUGAUCCUGGCUCAGGACGAACGCUGGCGGCAUGCUUAACACAUGCAAGUCGAACGGACUGAUUCCCUUCGGGGAUGAAAGUUAGUGGCGAACGGGUGAGUAAUGUAUGAGCAACCUGCCUCUGUCAACGGGAUAACAGUUGGAAACGACUGAUAAUACGGUAUAUGACCACGGCACCGCAUGGUGCUGCGGUAAAAGAUUUUAUCGGACAGAGAUGGGCUCAUAUCCCAUUAGGUAGUUGGUGAGAUAACAGCCCACCAAGCCGACGAUGGGUAGCCGAGCUGAGAGGCUGAUCGGCCACAUUGGGACUGAAACACGGCCCAGACUCCUACGGGAGGCAGCAGUGGGGAAUAUUGGGCAAUGGAGGCAACUCUGACCCAGCAAUGCCGCGUGAGCGAUGAAGGUAGUUUUAUUGUAAAGCUCUUUUCUCAGGAACGAACAAAUGACGGUACCUGAGGAAUAAGCCCCGGCUAACUACGUGCCAGCAGCCGCGGUAAUACGUAGGGGGCGAGCGUUGUCCGGAAUGACUGGGCGUAAAGGGUGUGUAGGUGGUUUGAUAAGUUAGAUGUGUAAUACCCAGGGCUUAACUCGGGUGCUGCAUCUAAAACUGUUAGACUUGAGUACUGGAGAGGAUAGUGGAAUUCCUAGUGUAGCGGUGGAAUGCGUAGAUAUUAGGAGGAACAUCAGUGGCGAAGGCGACUAUCUGGACAGCAAC